rnacentral:lncRNA from 1 species
GUGUAGUUAAGGACCCCAUUCCUUAGAAUGAAAAGACUUUGCUGUGACUUACAGUCACACGUCCCUUAACUGCGCAGCUAGUGCGAAAAACAGAUUUGUCUUGGUGCAUCAUCUGACAGAAGUAGGGCAGAAAUUAUUGAAGAAGUCUCUCAGUUGUAUUUGAGACAGACCUCUACCAGAUCAGUUCUUGCAUCUAAUUGACUUGCACAACUUGGCGAUUCGUAAGACCCCAGCUGUACAAUGUACAAUAAGUGGUCCAUAUAGACUUCAACAAAUCCCUGGUAGGCUUGGAAAUAAAUUGUAAAUCCUGGGAAAUAAAUCUACACAAAAACACCAGAGUGUUUUAAAACACAACUUGUCAAAAAAGACAUUUAAUCUUUCCUCUUUUUUUUUUGCAACAACCUGAAAAUCUGUAUAAUACGAAGAGCCACUCACCAAAUCAAUAUUUUUUCACCCUCCCCCUUUCGCAGACUGGUUCUACAUUUUAAUGCCACACUUUCAGCAUUGACAAGCAGUUUAUACUAGUUGUUCCAAAAGCUUCAAGAUUAUGUGAGAAGUGCAUGGAUUUUUUUGUCCCUUUUUUAUUCCAUAGAAAUGAGAUUUAUUAUGCAAGAAUAAAUAUUUCCAGGCACUUUUGCCAUUUUAUGAUUUUUUUCUAGUGAUAAUUUUUCUUUUCUAAUUGUCUGUUGUGUUAUGUUUUGUCAUCCCAUUUCUCAUUU